CCAAGGUGGGUGAAGUGUGCAAAGACGAAAGCGCGUGCGACGCCGGGGAAUGCUGUCUGAAGACCUAUAACGACAUUAUGGGGUCGGGGAAUGGCAAGUGCCAGAUGUACAUAGCGGAGGGCAAGACCUGUGACGUCAACGCCAUACUGCGAGGACAGACGUGCCCGUGUGCCAGACUACUGACGUGUGACACUCAUACCGUGUCUCAGGGCGCUCCGGCUCUUGGCAAAAGAAGUAAGACCACAGUCACUUCUGUGUGUGAGAAGCCAAUUCACUGAAACGCUCAGCGGCGAUGAAAAGAAAAGAAAAAAAAACACAUCAUGACUGACUGUAGGCACACCAUAAUGAUGGACUGAUUCAUUGCUGUGUGUUCACUACGGUCUUGAAAUGUUUCACAGAAAUAAAUGAGAAACUUGCCAUUCCA